CAAGGAAUUUUCCACAAUGGGCGCAAGCCUGAUGGAGCAACGCCGCGUGCGGGAGGACGCCCUUCGGGGUGUAAACCGCUUUUCGGGGGGACGAAGCUAAUGACGGUACCCCCGGAAGAAGGACCGGCUAACUACGUGCCAGCAGCCGCGGUAACACGUAGGGUCCGAGCGUUGUCCGGAAUUACUGGGCGUAAAGCGCGCGCAGGCGGUUUGGCGCAUCGGCGGUGAAAGCCCCCCGCUUAACGGGGGAGGGUCCGUCGCGAUGGCCAGACUGGAGGCAGGGAGAGGGCGGUGGAAUUCCGGGUGUAGUGGUGAAAUGCGUAGAGAUCCGGAGGAACACCAGUGGCGAAGGCGGCCGCCUGGACCUGACCUGACGCUGAGGCGCGAAGGCGCGGGGAGCGAACGG
rnacentral:rRNA from 1 species